GAUGAACGCUGGCGGCGUGCCUAAUACAUGCAAGUCGAGCGAACAGAUGAGGAGCUUGCUCCUCUGACGUUAGCGGCGGACGGGUGAGUAACACGUGGAUAACCUACCUAUAAGACUGGGAUAACUUCGGGAAACCGGAGCUAAUACCGGAUAAUAUAUUGAACCGCAUGGUUCAAUAGUGAAAGACGGUUUUGCUGUCACUUAUAGAUGGAUCCGCGCCGCAUUAGCUAGUUGGUAAGGUAACGGCUUACCAAGGCAACGAUGCGUAGCCGACCUGAGCGGGUGAUCGGCCACACUGGAACUGGAACACGGUCCAGACUCCUACGGGAGGCAGCAGUAGGGAAUCUUCCGCAAUGGGCGAAAGCCUGACGGAGCAGCGGCGCGUGAGUGAUGAAGGUCUUCGGAUCGUAAAACUCUGUUAUUAGGUAAGAACAAAUGUGUAAGUAACUAUGCACGUCUUGACGGUACCUAAUCAGAAAGCCACGGCUAACUACGUG
rnacentral:rRNA from 1 species